rnacentral:lncRNA from 1 species
CGUGCUGCCGGCCAUCCCGCAGAUGGGACGUCCCUCUUUCCCCGGUGACACACUGAGGAAAUAGCGCUAAUGAUUACAUAAAUCCUAGAAUGAAAAUCUUGGAAGUUCAAAGAGAAUCCACCAUCGUAGCUGUUGUACAUUGUACGGCCUGGAUCAUCUGCCUUCCCGUUUGGAUUGUAUCCAAUACAGAUUAGGUAACACAGGUUGUAACCUGCUGGGUUGAUACGUGAGACAAUUAAAAAAAUCAAAAUAGAAGCAGGGAAGGCGAGUAGAGCUCCUUUCCUGCGGGCGAGGCCAGAGGGCAGGCUGGUUCCCGGAGCAGGAGGCCCCGGCCAGCAGAGACUCCCCGGGUGGGGGGGUCACGGCCCCGAGCAGGGCAGCCCUGGGACCCGGGGAGGCCGAGCCUCCCUGUCAACCACAACUGCCGUGUCCUCGUCGGAGGGUCCUUCCGUCCACUCUGGACCCGGACUCGCCGGUUCGGGAGAGGAGAGAAUUUCCACGGGGCUUGGAGUCGUCACAAUGCUAAUAAGCUCGUUUCCCUGCUGGAAACUGAGGCACAGCGCCGUGGAGAGCUUUGCCUGGCCCCCGACACUCGGUGGUAGCCAAAGCGAGACCCAGAUGUGCCGUCCGACAGAGCUGUGACCGGAGCCUGAUGACGAUGGAGGGGGAGCCAGACGCAGCUCAGGAGCGAACCUUCCAGAGCACACUUAGGUUUUACCUCCUUGCUGUGUCCUGCUGUCAUCCUGGAGGAAGUUGGCACUGAAAAAAAAAAAAAAGAAAGAAAAAGUCCCAAACAUUUGUUCUGUUUUUAAAAAGUGUUAGCAGUGGGUAAAAGCGUUUUGCACCAGGGAUCAGAACCAGUUUUAGUCCUGGCCCCUCAUUUGGUCACAAACGUUAGGGCAUGUUGUCUCUGCGUCCAGCUCUUCAGAAUGAGGUCACCAGACUGGAUAAUUGUGGAAAUGCUUCCCGGCGCAAACGUUUGAUGAGCUGGUGGUGAGCCCGCCGUGUCCUGUGGGCGAGCUUGAUUCGGGAGUGAGCGGUGGCUUUGGAAGGGACUGUGGUGGCGUUUACACCCCCUCCCACUCGCCGAGAGAGGACUCUCGGUGGCUGCCACUCCAUGGGGUGACCCCGCCACUUCCUGGGGAUCAGCACCUGUUUGGAAACUGCCAGAAUGGACUUUGCAACGGCCUGUGUUCUGCUGUUGAGCGGAAUCCACAGGUUCCUUAUGUUCAACCUCUCGUCACCGGCUCCUCUCUCCAGUUCCUGGUUUUCCCCUGGUUCCUGUGAGGGAAAUUCUAGAUUUCAGAAGACUUCCUGGGACACCUUCUAAAGGACAGAUGUUUCUUCUCCGUGUUCUCCGAGUGUCUCUGGGCCCAGAGCACUCAGCCCGGCAUCGAGCCGGUGCGUGUGUGGUGCUUGGGUGAAGAACAGCUGGCCCCGGGCUGGAGUUUUUAACUGUCUGACGUUGGAGCCUCGAGGACUGUGUUCCCUCUCAGCCUUGCCCCCUGCCCUGGGCUGCAAAGCCACGUCUUCUCCAUCUCCACUCCGUGCCCGAGUGCCGGGCACCCACGUUUGCCAACUUUGUGCCCAGCUUUGCAAGCAGGGGAGCUCUGUUGGCUACAGUCAUUAUAUCAAUGUCAUUAG